CAUGUUUUGUUUCACAUUAAAAACUGCAUUUGUCUUUAGUGGUCGUAUGCUUGCUUGGCAGAAGAAUGUUUUGACCAUCAAGUUUAAACGCUUGAAUACCCGUAUAAUGCUGUCACUGCCAACUGAGAGAAGAAUUCCACUUGAAUUCUGAGUAAUGCUUCGCAUUAACAAAAUACUUUACAAAGAUGAUACUGCAGGCACAGAAAACAAGCAUCUAAUGGCCACUUUGGAUAAAGGACUCAUUCAUAUCCCAGCACCUUCAGUUAAAGUGAGAUCUCACAAUACACCGAAGCUGUCCGGCAGCAAAGUCUGGAAAUACUAGACUUGAUAUGUCCAAGAACUCCCUGAAGUUCCCACAAGACUUCCAGUGUGCCCCGGAAUCCAGGGACUUAGAUCCAGCUUGCUGCAGCGUACACCACGGGUGCUUUUGUUUACUUACAUGCAAAAUUCAGUGCCAGGGAUGAGUGCUUUUCUGGAGAUGGACCAGCUGCCUGAACAACAUGCUUCAUUGUGGUGCAUGUAGAAGUAAAACUGCCAGGGACUUCUGCGGAAGCAGAGUUAAGCCUGCCCUUUGGGAGAUCACUACAAUCAAGGCUGGCUUUAUGAAGGGCAGGGCCCGAUUCGAAUACCCAGCAGCAGUGGGUCAAGUCCUGGUCUUCCGCAACACCGAAGAACCCCCUACCGCCGGCUUCCCUGGUGCUUCAGCAGUCGGCAAUGAAGAAUGGAAGAUAAACAACUUUCCAGCACAUUCUGCUGCCUGUCACAAAGACACCAUAACAACCUUUUAUUCUGCUGCUGCUCCAGAUUGCCAACCCUGCCGACUCAUGUCCUCAAUUCCAGAACAGCAGCUGCAGCAACAGUACAAGUAUCCCAACCCUGCUCUAAUUUAAUUGACAUUUCUAUCCAGAAGUAAUAAAUCCACAUUUAUUUAAUCCUUCAUCUUUCUACUGAGACUGCCCACUGGAGUGGAAACCAAAAUGAUAAUGGCCCUUUUUGUGAUUUGUUUAGAUAUUAAAGUUCCUGAUUAAAAAUAGAAAUAAAAAAAAGACACGUAUGUGUGUAACUACACACCUAAAUUAUAUUUGCAAUUGCGGUGACUACGUACUACAUAUGCACGUUACAAAAA